UUCAAAUGUUCAUAGAUGGCUUGGGGCUUGCAGGGACAGAUCUUCCAGUGUCACCAGGAGCCUCUGGGAUAGGCGGGAAACGCUUCCUACAGGGGGUGGGGCGGGGGGCGCAUUUGAGCUCCAUGUGGGGAAGGCCCAGGGCAACUCUAAGCUGAGUGCAGAGUCCCAGGUCCCGAAAAUAGUGAGGCUUCCAGGUCACGAGGUUACACCAGCAUCCAUGACGUCAGCAGGCCAGCGGCGGGCCCUUAGCCAUGGAGGUUCAGAUCGUGUGGGUUGUGGGUCCCACGGUCCCAGAGUCAGCCGGGCGCCCAUUGGCUUGGCCUCAGGAUGCCCAGGGACAUGCCUGGUGCAGCUGGGGCAGCAGGAGCUCACUCUACCAUGAAAUAUUCAUGGCUGCUGGCAAAGCCCGGCCCUAAAAUAUAGUUUGCAGAAGAAAAAGAGCCAUCAGGCAUUUAAUCAUUGUGUUAAUGAGGCUCUAUUUGGAAGCAAACUCCAUCUGACUGCGUCCUAGACAGCAAGAGUCAGGGCCCGGCCAACCUGUGUUGCCGGCCGCAGGGGCAGCCUCAUCCCUGAGACACCAGUGGGAGACACGCCCGGGCAAGGCACAGGCUUGGCUCGAGGCCAUGGCCAGCGGCCCUCCACUUCAGGGGAGCCCAUGAGAUUAUAACGGCAUCCUGAGGUUUGCCAAAAAGCAUCCUUUUAAGCAGAAAGCAAGCAACGGCCCUGCAUGGAGGCGCCACAGAUCCAGUCUGGCUGAGCAGGGGCUAGACCAACUCGUUUUCCCUAAGCAGCUUCCUCGGGGGAACCACUACCCCUCCUGCCUCCAGCUCCCCCUGCUGCCCAGGCCGCCGCCACAGACACUGCAAAUUACCAUCCAGACAAGAUUGCCGGGCCCUUUACAAAGCCUGAAGCAGCUCCUGCAGCCGCCGUCAGCGUCAGCAGCCGCCCUUCUUCGCCAGGUGUGCUGAUUGCAAGUCUCUCUGUGCGGCAGGAGGGGACGUCUCCAAAGGGCAGGCGUCCAGUGGCAGCACCGCAGGCCUGUGGGUGUUCCACCUGCAGAGGCCCCAGAGCAGCCCACGGAGGGCCACGGUGGUAUUAUUCCCAUUUCACAGGGAAGAAGCAAGGUCAGAGCUCUUCCCAGAUGGCUCAGUGAGUACAUCAUAGGGACAUGCCCCAGGCCACCAGGCCCCACGGCCUCCAGGGUCCUGGCAAGUCCCCCCAGGGACGGUGGGUGGAGAGGAGGGGUUGCUGGCAAAAAUCAGGGCCCCUGGGGAGCAAUCCUCUCCUGUGGGCUACAGGUCUUCAUCAGGGAUGGACUCAGUGGGUCCCAGGCUCCCUUCUCCAGCUCUGCCAAAUUCCAUCCCACCCGGGAGAUGUGGGGUCCGAGCAAAGGGACCCUUCUCCUCUGUGAACUUAGAGGUCCAUAAAGGACAACGGUCCAGGGCAGCGAGGCACGUCGGGGUGGACAGUGACGAGGGAGCCGCGGCCCAGCCAUCCUGCUGUGGGGGAGACGCCCCAAGGGAUGCACAGUGAGGCCUGGGCAGUGGGAGCUCCAGAAGCUACAGAGCAGGAGCCAUGGCUGCAUGUCCAGAGCCAGGCUUUCCAUUCCCACGCUGCCCACGAUGACGGAGCGGAGGACACAGAGGGAGGAGAAAACGCCCCCUGAGAAGGGGGACAGGGACGACAGAGCCUUGGAGGGAGUUCGGACAGGAGGGAGUGCCCACUGAGCGCAUUUCCUGAAACUUCCAGCUCCCCCUCCCCCGAGUCUUUCCCAGGGCCAAGGCCAUCCCUGGUCACGGAGCCCGCACCGCCUCCUCCCUGCAGCGCCAGGCCCAUGCUGCCCGCCCUUACCCGCUCCUCCCGUCCGGCGCUUGAGAGACGUGGUGUCUGGAAAGUCUGUCCCAUCCCAGCUUCCACAACACCCACUGAGACCCACGCCAACGCGCCCCGCCCACGAGAACCCAGGUCACUCCCGCUUGGUGACUGCGGAAGAACUUUCCGGGUGUCACGUUGGUCCAGUCCCAGGCUGUCCUUCUCUCAACUAAGUUUCCAUCUGGAUUCCAGCCCACCCCCAUGCACGGGACGCAGGAGCUCUGGGUGCCCACCACUCCAUGAAGGGUGAUUGUGGUGAUGUAUUUGACCUUCUGGCAGCAAUUUAAUCAAAUCUGGAAAUCUGGGCCGGCACCUGGUUCGGGACUCAUCCCCUGUUGCUAGGAAACCCAACUCCUGCGGAUCCCACCCUGCUCCAUCCGGAGACAGUGGGAGAGACCCUCCUGCAGCUGAGGCCAGGGCUGGGGAAUGGCUGGAGAUGGAUGGGGACAGCAGUGGCCUUUGCACUGGCUGACUUCACAGCAGAACUCCCACGAGUGCCGAGAAACAGCGUGUAGGGGCGCUGCUCUCCCUACAAGCCCUUCCAGGCGCUGCAGGUCACUUAGAAGCUUGUGGCGCAUCCCUCGGUACCUCUCUCUGCCUGCGCACCAUAAACACCCAGACUACAGGGCCAUACCUGUCUCUUCUUGGUCUCCCCAGCAUCCUGCAGAUUAGUGGCCCUUCAGACACUUUGCACCCCAGUAGGGGGUGGGGAGGCUGGUGGAAAGUGAGCCCUGUGGCUCCUGGAGAAGCGGCGAGCAGCAGGCAGUGUUACACAAGGGUCCUCCCAACCCAGCUGACCUCACCAGGUCAUUCAUGCAAGAAUGCGGGGCCAAUGGGUUUCUGCCAGGCGUGCCAGGGCUGAGGGCACCCCUGGGUCCUCACAGCCCCCACUGUCCAGGGACAGCAGAGUCCUCCUUCCCUUUGCCAUUUCCAUGUUUCUCAUUUCAAUAAUUCUUGCAGCCCAUGUUGUGUAAAUAAAAUUAUUCUUCCCAAAAAAAUCGUUAGCAGAGCCCGACAUUAAUUCCCCUGCAAUCUGUGUAAUUAACUGCAUGUAAUAUAGGGCAUUAAAGGACCGGUUUGCUAAUCACCACUCCUCCGCUCCACGCACCUAAUUAAAUCUCCUUCCUGUUUAUCCACUUACAGGAUCCUCUGCAAAGAUACCAGGCACCAGGAACACUGUUGUAAUAAAUCUUUGCGUAAUUUUAGAGGGUGCAGUCCCACUCUGUUUCAUUCCCACUGCUGAGCCCCUCCUCCCUGCAGCCACGUCUCCCCAUGACUCGGC
rnacentral:lncRNA from 10 species